ACGCGGUAAAGUGAAACAUCUCAGUAACCGCAGGAAAAGAAAGAGAAUCGAUUCCGUAAGUAGCGGCGAGCGAAAGCGGAACAGCCCAAACCAAAAUGAUUUAUCGUUUUGGGGUUGUAGGACUAUAAUGUGAGGAGCAACGGAUAGAAGAACACUCUGGAAAGGGUGACCAUAGAGGGUGACAGUCCCGUAGUUGAAAUCCCGCGCCGAUCUAGUAGUAUCCUGAGUAGCACCGGACACGUGAAACCCGGUGUGAAUCUGCGCCGACCACGGCGUAAGGCUAAAUACAAUAUGACGACCGACAGUGAACUAGUACCGCGAGGGAAAGGUGAAAAGCACCCCUGUUAGGGGAGUGAAAUAGUAACUGAAACCGAUGGCUAACAAAUCAGUAGGAGCUCCCUUGUGGAGUGACUGCCUGCCUUUUGUAUAAUGAGUCUGCGAGUUAAUGUCCGUAGCAAGCCUAAGCCGCUCAGCGGUGGAGGCGCAGCGAAAGCGAGUCUGAAUAGGGCGCUCAGUUGCUGGCAUUAGACCCGAAGG
rnacentral:rRNA from 1 species